AACGGAACGUUUGGACAUUGUUUGAUCGAAAUAUGAAAGGAGGAACUAUUCGUACUGUGGCACUGCGAUUUAGUUUCUCCCAUGCCCCAGACACCCGACAGCAACACACAACACGGA